rnacentral:rRNA from 1 species
UACGUAGGGGGGCAAGCGUUGUCCGGAAUCAUUGGGCGUAAAGAGCGUGUAGGCGGCCCGGUAAGUCUGUUGUGAAAGUCCAGGGCUCAACCCUGGAAUGCCGAUGGAUACUGCCGGGCUAGAGUUCGGAAGAGGCGAGUGGAAUUCCUGGUGUAGCGGUGGAAUGCGCAGAUAUCAGGAGGAACACCUAUAGCGAAGGCAGCUCGCUGGGACGACACUGACGCUGAGACGACGAAGCGUGGGGAGCGAACAGG